CAUUGGGCGGGGUGCUAUACAUGCAAGUCGAGCGGACAGAUGGGAGCUUGCUCCCUGAUGUCAGCGGCGGACGGGUGAGUAACACGUGGGUAACCUGCCUGUAAGACUGGGAUAACUCCGGGAAACCGGGGCUAAUACCGGAUGCUUGAUUGAACCGCAUGGUUCAAUUAUAAAAGGUGGCUUUUAGCUACCACUUACAGAUGGACCCGCGGCGCAUUAGCUAGUUGGUGAGGUAACGGCUCACCAAGGCGACGAUGCGUAGCCGACCUGAGAGGGUGAUCGGCCACACUGGGACUGAGACACGGCCCAGACUCCUACGGGAGGCAGCAGUAGGGAAUCUUCCGCAAUGGACGAAAGUCUGACGGAGCAACGCCGCGUGAGUGAUGAAGGUUUUCGGAUCGUAAAACUCUGUUGUUAGGGAAGAACAAGUACCGUUCGAAUAGGGCGGUACCUUGACGGUACCUAACCAGAAAGCCACGGCUAACUACGUGCCAGCAGCCGCGGUAAUACGUAGGUGGCAAGCGUUGUCCGGAAUUAUUGGGCGUAAAGCGCGCGCAGGCGGUUUCUUAAGUCUGAUGUGAAAGCCCCCGGCUCAACCGGGGAGGGUCAUUGGAAACUGGGGAACUUGAGUGCAGAAGAGGAGAGUGGAAUUCCACGUGUAGCGGUGAAAUGCGUAGAGAUGUGGAGGAACACCAGUGGCGAAGGCGACUCUCUGGUCUGUAACUGACGCUGAGGCGCGAAAGCGUGGGGAGCGAACAGGAUUAGAUACCCUGGUAGUCCACGCCGUAAACGAUGAGUGCUAAGUGUUAGAGGGUUUCCGCCCUUUAGUGCUGCAGCAAACGCAUUAAGCACUCCGCCUGGGGAGUACGGUCGCAAGACUGAAACUCAAAGGAAUUGACGGGGGCCCGCACAAGCGGUGGAGCAUGUGGUUUAAUUCGAAGCAACGCGAAGAACCUUACCAGGUCUUGACAUCCUCUGACAACCCUAGAGAUAGGGCUUCCCCUUCGGGGGCAGAGUGACAGGUGGUGCAUGGUUGUCGUCAGCUCCUGUCCUGAAAUGUUGGGUUAAGUCCCGCAACGAGCGCAACCCUUGAUCUUAGUUGCCAGCAUUCAGUUGGGCACUCUAAGGGGACUGCCGGUGACAAACCGGAAGAAAGGUGGGGAAGAAGUCCAAACAUCCAGGCCCCUUAUAGACGGGGGUAAAAACCUGGUUACAAUGGGGGGAAAAAAAAGGGGGGCGGAAACCCCGCGGGGUUAGCCAAUUCCCCAAAAUUUGUCUCUUGG
rnacentral:rRNA from 1 species